UACGAAGGGGGCUAGCGUUGCUCGGAAUUACUGGGCGUAAAGGGCGCGUAGGCGGACGGUUAAGUCAGAGGUGAAAGCCCAGAGCUCAACUCUGGAAUUGCCUUUGAUACUGAUUGUCUUGAGUAUGGGAGAGGUGUGCGGAACUCCGAGUGUAGAGGUGAAAUUCGUAGAUAUUCGGAAGAACACCAGUGGCGAAGGCGGCACACUGGCCCAUUACUGACGCUGAGGCUCGAAAGCGUGGGGAGCAAACAGG
rnacentral:rRNA from 1 species